CGUUUCGUCCGCGUUGCCAACGCAGCAGCAGCAGCAGCAGCUAUCGGUGUGCGAGUCAAAGAGAGAUAGAAAACAAUAUACAAAAACCGUUGCCUACUUUUGAGCGCAAACUAAGAGCGCCGAUCUAACGGGAAGCCUCGAAGGUGCCGGCAAGGUGCAUGAAUGUGCAUGCAAUAAGUGCGGGAAAACAAGUUGUAAAGUAUUUUUGGAAAGUCUUGAGAAAAUUUGAGGAUACAAAAAGUGAACUACACAGUGAAAGGUGAAAGAGCACAGAAAAGUGAAGGAAAUUAAAUUUUAAAUUCAAGUGCUGAACACUCAGGCCGUCAUCAGCAACAGUCAAAGAUAGAGAGAAAAAGAGGACACCGGACAGAGAGAGGCGAGGUUAAUGGGCGGUUUUGCGUUGCCAACUCGACAAUAAGAACAACAACAACAACAACAACGACAACGAGAUCUACAACAACCACUGGCCAGCCACAACAGCAACAACAAAAACUAUUUACACAAGCAAUAUCAACUCGUCCCCGCCAUGUUGUCAACGUAAU